GGUUCCAUCCCCAGCACCAGAGAGAAGGUAGAGCUGGGGCGUCUGGCUCCCAUGGCCCCCUCAGGGCCUGG
rnacentral:miRNA from 1 species